AUGAAUAUUAUAAAAAUUCUUUUGUGUUUUUUCAAGAGUCUCUUAAUUUUAUUUUGAACCUAUUUAUCUAUGAUGCAGGAAGAAAAAUUUUGUAUCGUACUAUUUUAUAAUCUUUAUCUAGAUUCAGUUUACUACCAAAAAAAAUUUGAAUCAGAAUACGAAAGAAAUGGAGAAUGAAUAUUCUUAAUAUUAUCCUACGCAAACUCACGUGGAAAAUGGAAAGGAGACGUCGAAGUUUAAU
rnacentral:lncRNA from 1 species